rnacentral:rRNA from 1 species
CCUACGGGUGGCAGCAGUGAGGAAUAUUGGUCAAUGGGCGAGAGCCUGAACCAGCCAAGUCGCGUGAGGGAGUACUGCCCUAUGGGUUGUAAACCUCUUUUGUCGGGGAGCAAAAGCCGGACGUGUCCGGCUGUGAGAGUACCCGAAGAAAAAGCAUCGGCCCCCCCCCCCCCCCCCCCCCCCGUAAUACGGAGGAUGCGAGCGGUAUCCGGAUUUAUUGGGUAUAAAGGGUGCGCAGGCGGAUUUUUAAGUCAGCGGUCAAAUCGUGGGGCUCAACCCCAUCCAGCCGUUGAAACUGGGGAUCUAGAGUGUGCGAGAGGUAUGCGGAAUGCGUGGUGUAGCGGUGAAAUGCAUAGAUAUCACGCAGAACCCCGAUUGCGAAGGCAGCAUACCGGUGCACAACUGACGCUCAGGCACGAAAGCGUGGGUAUCGAACAGGAUUAGAUACCCGAGUAGUC